rnacentral:rRNA from 1 species
UGCAGUCGAACGGGGGCAGCAAUGCCCUAGUGGCGAACGGGUGAGUAAUGCAUCGGAACGUGUCCCGUAGUGGGGGAUAGCCCGGCGAAAGCCGGAUUAAUACCGCAUAUGCUCUACGGAGGAAAGUGGGGGACCGCAAGGCCUCACGCUAUGGGAGCGGCCGAUGUCCGAUUAGCUAGUUGGUGAGGUAAAGGCUUACCAAGGCGACGAUCGGUAGCUGGUCUGAGAGGAUGAUCAGCCACACUGGGACUGAGACACGGCCCAGACUCCUACGGGAGGCAGCAGAGGGGAAUUUUGGACAAUGGGGGCAACCCUGAUCCAGCCAUGCCGCGUGAGUGAAGAAGGCCUUCGGGUUGUAAAGCUCUUUCGGCCGGAAAGAAAGCUUACUCCUUAAUACGGGGUGAGGUUGACGGUACCGGCAUAAGAAGCACCGGCUAACUACGUGCCAGCAGCCGCGGUAAUACGUAGGGUGCGAGCGUUAAGCGGAAUUACUGGGCGUAAAGCGUGCGCAGGCGGUUUGUUAAGCUUGCUGUGAAAGCCCCGGGCUCAACCUGGGAAUGGCAGUGAGGACUGGCAGACUGGAGUGUGGCAGA